rnacentral:rRNA from 1 species
UACGUAGGGUGCGAGCGUUGUCCGGAAUUAUUGGGCGUAAAGAGCUUGUAGGCGGUUUGUCGCGUCUGCUGUGAAAAUCCGGGGCUCAACCCCGGACUUGCAGUGGGUACGGGCAGCCUAGAGUGUGGUAGGGGAGACUGGAAUUCCUGGUGUAGCGGUGGAAUGCGCAGAUAUCAGGAGGAACACCGAUGGCGAAGGCAGGUCUCUGGGCCACUACUGACGCUGAGAAGCGAAAGCAUGGGGAGCGAACAGG